rnacentral:rRNA from 1 species
AGCAGCCGCGGUAAUUCCAGCUCCAAUAGCGUAUAUUAAAGUUGUUGCAGUUAAAAAGCUCGUAGUUGAAUUUCGGGAUUGACACAUCGGUCGUGCCUUAAGGGGUAUGAACUGGUGUAGUCAAUUUCUCACCUUCUGGAGAACCGCGAUGCCCUUAAUUGGGUGUCGCGGGGAACCAGGACCUUUACUUUGAAAAAAUUAGAGUGUUUAAAGCAGGCAUUUUGCUUGAAUACAUUAGCAUGGAAUAAUAAAAUAGGACGGCAUGAUUCUAUUUUGUUGGUUUCUAGGAUCACCGUAAUGAUUAAUAGGGAUAGUUGGGGGCAUUAGUAUUCAAUUGUCAGAGGUGAAAUUCUUGGAUUUAUUGAAGACUAACUACUGCGAAAGCAUUUGCCAAGGAUGUUUUCAUUAAUCAAGAACGAAGUUAGGGGGUCGAAGACGAUCAGAUACCGUCGUAGUCUUAACCAUAAACUAUGCCGACUAGGAAUCAGACGAUGUUAAUUUUUAAUGACUCGUUUGGCAC